GCCCCUGUAGCUCAGCUGGACAGAGCACCGGACUUCUAAUCCGAUGGUCGCAGGUUCGAAUCCUGCCGGGGGCG
rnacentral:tRNA from 2 species